rnacentral:rRNA from 1 species
CUACGGAGGGGGCUAGCGUUGUUCGGAAUUACUGGGCGUAAAGCGCACGUAGGCGGACUGAUCAGUUGGGGGUGAAAUCCCAGGGCUCAACCCUGGAACUGCCUCCAAUACUGUCAGUCUUGAGAUCGGAAGAGGUGAGUGGAAUUCCUAGUGUAGAGGUGAAAUUCGUAGAUAUUAGGAGGAACACCAGUGGCGAAGGCGGCUCACUGGUCCGAUACUGACGCUGAGGUGCGAAAGCGUGGGGAGCAAACAGGAUUAGAAACCCUAGUAGUCC